rnacentral:rRNA from 1 species
CGUGCCUAAUACAUGCAAGUCGUACGCUUCUUUUUCCACCGGAGCUUGCUCCACCGGAAAAAGAGGAGUGGCGAACGGGUGAGUAACACGUGGGUAACCUGCCCAUCAGAAGGGGAUAACACUUGGAAACAGGUGCUAAUACCGUAUAACAAUCGAAACCGCAUGGUUUUGAUUUGAAAGGCGCUUUCGGGUGUCGCUGAUGGAUGGACCCGCGGUGCAUUAGCUAGUUGGUGAGGUAACGGCUCACCAAGGCCACGAUGCAUAGCCGACCUGAGAGGGUGAUCGGCCACAUUGGGACUGAGACACGGCCCAAACUCCUACGGGAGGCAGCAGUAGGGAAUCUUCGGCAAUGGACGAAAGUCUGACCGAGCAACGCCGCGUGAGUGAAGAAGGUUUUCGGAUCGUAAAACUCUGUUGUUAGAGAAGAACAAGGAUGAGAGUAACUGUUCAUCCCUUGACGGUAUCUAACCAGAAAGCCACGGCUAACUACGUGCCAGCAGCCGCGGUAAUACGUAGGUGGCAAGCGUUGUCCGGAUUUAUUGGGCGUAAAGCGAGCGCAGGCGGUUUCUUAAGUCUG